GGCUCAGGAUGAACGCUAGCUACAGGCUUAACACAUGCAAGUCGAGGGGAAACGAUAGAGAAAGCUUGCUUUUUCUAGGCGUCGACCGGCGCACGGGUGAGUAACGCGUAUCCAACCUGCCCAUCACUUGGGGAUAACCUUGCGAAAGUAAGACUAAUACCCAAUGACGUCUCUAGAAGACAUCUGAAAGAGAUUAAAGAUUUAUCGGUGAUGGAUGGGGAUGCGUCUGAUUAGCUUGUUGGCAGGGUAACGGCCCACCAAGGCGACGAUCAGUAGGGGUUCUGAGAGGAAGGUCCCCCACAUUGGAACUGAGACACGGUCCAAACUCCUACGGGAGGCAGCAGUGAGGAAUAUUGGUCAAUGGACGAGAGUCUGAACCAGCCAAGUAGCGUGCAGGAUGACGGCCCUAUGGGUUGUAAACUGCUUUUAUAAGGGAAUAAAGUGAGUCUCGUGAGACUUUUUGCAUGUACCUUAUGAAUAAGGACCGGCUAAUUCCGUG
rnacentral:rRNA from 1 species